rnacentral:tRNA from 1 species
GUCAACAUAGUUUAACAAAAACAUUAGGAUGUGGAUCUAAAAACAGAAGCUAAACCUUCUUGUUGAC